rnacentral:pre_miRNA from 1 species
CCCACACCCAUGUGUGUAGGACCCUAAAGGUUCACCAUUAAAUUUGGCAUAGAUCUCUAGAAAAGUUAUCACAUGGGUGUGAGAUUUGACUUUUCUAGAGAUCUGUGCCAAAUUUAAUGGUGAUCUUUUGGGUCCUACAUACAUGGGUGUGGG